UUGAUAGGCAGGGUGUGUAAGCGUUGUGAGGCGUUGAGCUAACCUGUACUAAUUGCCCGUGAGGCUUAACCAUACAACACCCAAGGGGUUU
rnacentral:rRNA from 1 species